UACGAAGGGGGCUAGCGUUGUUCGGAAUCACUGGGCGUAAAGCGCACGUAGGCGGAUCUUUAAGUCAGGGGUGAAAUCCCGAGGCUCAACCUCGGAACUGCCUUUGAUACUGGAGGUCUCGAGUCCGGGAGAGGUGAGUGGAACUGCGAGUGUAGAGGUGAAAUUCGUAGAUAUUCGCAAGAACACCAGUGGCGAAGGCGGCUCACUGGCCCGGAACUGACGCUGAGGUGCGAAAGCGUGGGGAG
rnacentral:rRNA from 1 species